rnacentral:rRNA from 1 species
GAGCUUGCUCUCGGGUGACGAGCGGCGGACGGGUGAGUAAUGUCUGGGAAACUGCCUGAUGGAGGGGGAUAACUACUGGAAACGGUAGCUAAUACCGCAUAAUGUCGCAAGACCAAAGUGGGGGACCUUCGGGCCUCAUGCCAUCAGAUGUGCCCAGAUGGGAUUAGCUAGUAGGUGGGGUAACGGCUCACCUAGGCGACGAUCCCUAGCUGGUCUGAGAGGAUGACCAGCCACACUGGAACUGAGACACGGUCCAGACUCCUACGGGAGGCAGCAGUGGGGAAUAUUGCACAAUGGGCGCAAGCCUGAUGCAGCCAUGCCGCGUGUGUGAAGAAGGCCUUCGGGUUGUAAAGCACUUUCAGCGGGGAGGAAGGCGAUAAGGUUAAUAACCUUGUCGAUUGACGUUACCCGCAGAAGAAGCACCGGCUAACUCCGUGCCAGCAGCCGCGGUAAUACGGAGGGUGCAAGCGUUAAUCGGAAUUACUGGGCGUAAAGCGCACGCAGGCGGUCUGUCAAGUCGGAUGUGAAAUCCCCGGGCUCAACCUGGGAACUGCAUUCGAAACUGGCAGGCUAGAGUCUUGUAGAGGGGGGUAGAAUUCCAGGUGUAGCGGUGAAAUGCGUAGAGAUCUGGAGGAAUACCGGUGGCGAAGGCGGCCCCCUGGACAAAGACUGACGCUCAGGUGCGAAAGCGUGGGGAGCAACAGGAUUAGAUACCCUGGUAGUCCACGCCGUAAACGAUGUCGAUUUGGAGGGUGUGC